rnacentral:rRNA from 1 species
GACGAACGCUGGCGACGCGCUUAACACAUGCAAGUCGAACGGAAAGGCCUGCUUUCCCUUGUGGAUUGCGGGUACUCGAGUGGCGAACGGGUGAGUAACACGUGAGUGAUCUGCCCCCAACUUGGGUAUAAGCCUGGGAAACUGGGUCUAAUUCCCGAUAGGACUGCAGGGUGGUGCCUGUGGUGGAAAACGAUUUUCUAGUGGUUGGGGAUGAGCUCGCGGCCUAUCAGCUUGUUGGUGGGGUAAUGGCCUACCAAGGCGGCGACGGGUAGCCGGCCUGAGAGGGUGGACGGCCACAUUGGGACUGAGAUACGGCCCAGACUCCUACGGGAGGCAGCAGUGGGGAAUAUUGCACAAUGGGCGGAAGCCUGAUGCAGCGACGCCGCGUGGGGGAUGACGGCCUUCGGGUUGUAAACUCCUUUCGACCGCGAGGAAGCCACCUGGUUGGAAGGGUGGUGACGGUAGUGGGAGAAGAAGCACCGGCUAACUACGUG